AGUGAACGCUGGCGGCAGGCCUAACACAUGCAAGUCGAGCGGCAGCACGGCAAUAGCAAUAUUGUGGGUGGCGAGCGGCGGACGGGUGAGGAAUGCAUCGGGAUCUACCCUGUCGUGGGGGACAACGUAGGGAAACUUACGCUAAUACCGCAUGAUCUGGAGACAGCAAAGCCGGGGACCUUCGGGCCUGGCGCGAUGGGAUGAGCCGAUGUCCGAUUAGCUAGUUGGCGGGGUAAAGGCCCACCAAGGCGACGAUCGGUAGCUGGUCUGAGAGGACGACCAGCCACACUGGAACUGAGACACGGUCCAGACUCCUACGGGAGGCAGCAGUGGGGAAUAUUGGACAAUGGGGGCAACCCUGAUCCAGCCAUGCCGCGUGAGUG
rnacentral:rRNA from 1 species